AUUGAACGCUGGCGGCCGGCCUAACACAUGCAAGUCGAGCGAGCGGCGGACGGGUGAGUAAUGUCUGGGGAACUGCACGAUAGAGGGGGAUAACUACUGGAAACGGUGGCUAAUACAGCAUACUAUCGGGUGACACCAUAUGGGAUUGGCUAGUAGGGGGGGUAAAGGCUCACCUAGGCGACGAGCCCUAGAUGGUCUGAGAGGAUGAUCAGCCACACUGGGACUGCGACACGGCCCCGACUCCUCCGGGAGGCAUCAGUGGGGAAUAUUGCACAAUGGGCGCAAGCCUGAUGCAGCCAUGCCGCGUUGAUGAAGAAGGCCUUAGGUUUUUAAAGUACUUUCAGCGGGGAGGCGUUACCCGCAGAAGAAGCACCGGCGAACUCCGUGCCAGCAGCCGCGGUAAUAC
rnacentral:rRNA from 1 species